GGGCCCGUAGCUCAGUGGGUAAGAGCAAUCGACUCAUAAUCGAUGGGUCGCCGGUUCAAGUCCGGCCGGGCCCACCA
rnacentral:tRNA from 2 species